ensembl:lncRNA
CAGCCUUUUAACCCAAAAAAAGUUUGCAAUGAUUGACCAGUUGGACCAUAAAUUUAACUAUUUAAGUGCUACUAGCAAAGGCAGAUCUGACGCAGAACACUCAUGCAGAAGGAAGAGUAUUUGCGGGGAAUUUUGAGAAGAUGAAAUGGAGCAGUUGCAUCAUAACUGAUUUUCACAGUUAAUUUCUGCCUAAAAUUGAGAUGUGCCCAUGGACAGAGUGUUUUUCUCCAUGAUGACUAUUUUGCCUGACUGACCUCUCUCAAUGCUCACUCCCCAUUUUACAGGCACUCUCUGCAGCCCAGAACCAGAUGCAAGCAGCGCCUGGAGCAUCCUUCACCCCCGUCCCCUCAACAACCCCCCUCCGCACCGCCCCNNNNNNNNNNNNNNNNNNNNCGGGCCUGCAUCCAUCUUAGCACCCAAAUAUGUUCUUCAUAAAGUUCUCGUUAGAAACGUGAGACCUGUUAAUUUUGACCUCUCAUCCCCUUCAUUUUCAACCACCUCCACCCCUUUGUUCUCCCUUCUCCCCUCUGCUCUGUGCUUCCUCAGAUGAAGUCACGAGGGCCCUGUUGAUUUUCCCAUCAACAUUCUCCUUUCUGCCCUGUCGCAUCAUAAAUAGACUCCUCCGCUCCUUGCCCUUGUCUGAGGAGACCACUUCCUGUCGAAUUGCUCUUUCUCCUGUUUCCCUUGGCUUGCAUAUCCCAAGGCCAUGAGGAAUUGACCACCUCCCCUAGCUCUGCAGUUCUGCUUCCAGAUCACCAUAGACGUGCUCACAUAAAUGUAACCUAGGGGCUGCAAUGUGUCUGCAAGUUGAGCCCUUUACCUCCAUGGUUCUCUGUCUCCACUCUACUUUAGCCACCAAAUGCAGCUGCUCCACCUUGGAUCUCAUUAUCCCUUGGAAAUAUUCCACCUGUGAGAGGGUCCAAAUGCCUCUCUGACCAUAAUCCAGUCUUUCCUAGACCUUCCAGCUCUCUCAUUAAACAUUCAACAAAAAUUUAAUUAGCAUGUACUACACGUAGUAGGAUGUCACUGGGAUACAGUGAUGAACCAAAUAGACGUGGUCUCCUCAUCUAGAGCCUACAUCUCCUGCAGGAGAACAACAAUCAAAUAAUGACUUAAUUAACUGUUAAUUAAUCUGAAGCAAAUGCUGUGAAGGAAAGCACCACUGCUCAUCCUAUCCUGACCACUAAUCCUUGUCUCCUCCACAUCCUCUAGGCACAGUGAGCCCCUUCUUAUCAUCCUUUCUUUUUCCUUCCAGCCCAGACUCUAAAGUACAUAAUUUCAACCACUCUUACCAGCUCUCUCAAUGUCCUAGCCCUUUUUCUUUGGCAGACCAACAAACACAGAGUAAAUUCAGCUUUACAUCUUCCUUCCUUUAAACCAGGGUCCGGAGUAAGGCUGAUAAAUCACAAAUCAGCAUGACUCGGUGCCUUUAAGACAUCCAACCCCAACUGCACCCUCAAGACUGCUCAGUAGUGCUCAUGCACAUGUUCCUUAUCUCCACAGUUGGUAUUUCAGCCUCAACACAGCCUCCGCAUGCUCUUACACCCUUUCCCCUGGACAUGUCUUGGUGUCUUACUCCACAAAGAAAACAUGAACAUGAACUCUCACACCCUUCUGCUCUCUACCCACCCACAUGCAUACAUUAUAUUCAUUCUUAUCUCCUUCUCCCCAUCUCUCUUAAUAGGGAGUCCCUCCUUCUCUCAGAGGCUAACUUUUCCCCUCCUUUCUGGUCUUCCUGUUAUUUUUAGCCCCUUCUCAAUCUCUUGCAUGGAUUUUUCUUUUCACCUCUGUCUAUCCUUUGAAUAUAAAUGUCCCAAGUUAUUUCCCCUGCGACCUAGGUACUUUUCUUACUCUUCCUAGUCAGCUUGAGUGAUUUCCAUCACAACCAGGUCUUCAUUUGUUACCUAUGUGCUCAUUAUGCUAAAAUCUCUCUCUCUUUCUUUCUCGAGAAACCUUUCUCCUGACCACCAGAUGUAUUCCUCCGCCUGGAUGUCCUUAGGCAGAUCAGUCACACUCAUCUCUUCAGGACUGGACCCACCGUCUUCCUCAACAUGCUUGGUGGCAAAUUUUCCAGUCCCCAAAUUGGAAAGCUUGACAAAGGCGAUUUUCUUAUUUAAAGUGAUGUGAAGACACAGAGAGGAUGACAUGUGACAGCGUGUUGGAGGCGGAGAUUGGAGCCAUGCAGCUGCAAGCCAGCAACACCAAGACCUGCUAGCAACACCAGAAGCUGAGAGAAGGGCAUGGAACAGAGGCAGCAUGGUCCUGCUGACCCCUUGAUUCUGGACUUCUGCCCUCCAGAACUAGGAGAGAAUAAAUUUCUGUUGUCCUACCCUAUUUGUGGUAAUUCAUUACGGCAGUCCUAAAAAACUAACAUGGGUAGGAAGCUAAUAUAUGUAUAGCUUUGCAUAUAU